CGCCAGGGUAACGCCGCGGACACAUUGCGAGACUAACACAUGGCAGGUGGACCGCCAGAGUAACGCCGCGGACACAUUGCGAGACUAACACAUGGCAGGUGGACCGCCAGAGUAACGCCGCGGACACAUUGCGAGACUAACACAUGGCAGGUGGACCGCCAGAGUAACGCCGCGGACACAUUGCGAGACUAACACAUGGCAGGUGGACCGCCAGAGUAACGCCGCGGACACAUUGCGAGACUAACACAUGGCAGGUGGACCGCCAGAGUAACGCCGCGGACACAUUGCGAGACUAACACAUGGCAGGUGGACCGCCAGAGUAACGCCGCGGAGAGGAGAGGGAGACCGGCGCUGGACGGACGACAUCGUGCAACCGGCUGGCCAACAUUGGACGGAGGCUGCGACACUCCGUGCACCGGACGCAUGCAGUUCUCAAGAGGAGGCUUUCACCUUCGGGUAGUGAGGGGUUCACACAUACAAAUAUCAAAAUGCAUAUAAAAUAUUAACAUUUUUUUUCCCCAAUAGAUCAUUCAAAACUAGAAAUAAGUUUAAUUUUUGUAUUAUUUUUUGUAAGAAAUAAAAGGCUUUUUAAUUUUUUAUUUCUUUUUAUUAUGCGUCUUAUUUCUUUAUUUAUAAAUCAAGUUCCCUGAUAUAUUGACAAAAACUAAAACAACUUAUUAAAUCAAACCCGUAGUUUUUAUUUAUUGGAGUUUUUGGCCAAAACCAUAAAUGUUGAAUAUCUGAGACACGAGCCCCUCGGGCCUGCGCGCGCAGUGCUAGCUGUGCAGUGUGCAUGUUGCUGUAUGGAAGGUGAUAACCUCCCUAGAGGAAUACGUCGAAUUACAAGUCACCCUUUAUAUUUACCGAAAAAUAACCACAACGGGUUCUUGUUAUUUUCUGAUGACAUAUAAAAAUAUAUUAAUAAUAUAAUAGGCACGUUUCUCGAUUCAGGAAUCGAACCGGGAAUCCCUUGCUCAGAAGCCGCACUAGUUAGCGGUCCUCGACCAGCGAGAAAGAUACCCAUCUGUCUCUAGUAGGUAAUAAGAAUUUCAUUAGAUUUUUGAAAAUAAGUUGUAUA